rnacentral:rRNA from 1 species
CCUACGGGGUGCAGCAGUGAGGAAUAUUGGUCAAUGGACGAGAGUCUGAACCAGCCAAGUAGCGUGAAGGAUGACUGCCCUAUGGGUUGUAAACUUCUUUUAUAUGGGAAUAAAAUGUUCCACGUGUGGGAUUUUGUAUGUACCAUAUGAAUAAGGAUCGGCUAACUCCGUGCCAGCAGCCGCGGUAAUACGGAGGAUCCGAGCGUUAUCCGGAUUUAUUGGGUUUAAAGGGAGCGUAGGUGGAUUGUUAAGUCAGUUGUGAAAGUUUGCGGCUCAACCAUAAAAUUGCAGUUGAAACUGGCAGUCUUGAGUACAGUAGAGGUGGGCGGAAUUCGUGGUGUAGCGGUGAAAUGCUUAGAUAUCACGAAGAACUCCGAUUGCGAAGGCAGUUCACUGGACUGCAACUGACACUGAGGCUCGAAAGUGUGGGUAUCAAACAGGAUUAGAUACCCCAGUAGUC